AACCUCCAGAUUCCUUACCCAUCAAAUUUAAAUAUUUGUCUGAGUGUCUUAAAAAAAAGAGGAAAAGUUAAACUAAAGUGAAUUUGGAGUCUUUAAUAAUAUAGAAGUUCAUUUCAAACAUAU
rnacentral:snoRNA from 1 species